AGGGUCGGGUGGGGGCAGACCCACUUUCUGGGGUGCGCCCUCCUAUCCUGUAAGGAGAGGGCUCCUGAUGGAAAAGGCGUGGCGCUGGGUUUCUAUUCCCGACCCCCCGUGUGGUUAGCCUCUGGGAAGUGUGGGCAGCUAGUGGGUCCGCUAAUGAGGUCACGAGGCGGAUCUCGCUUCUCAGAAGUCUUGGAUUCAAAGUCCUCAGGUCGUCUAGCCCCCGCGGUUCCACAGCCCUUGGAGGACUGGUACCCUGAGGACCUUCUGCAGGUAUCCGGUGGAUGAACACAGCUGGAAUCAGUGCUACACAACAGAGGGGAGCAAGAGAGGCGCUUCCCUGAGGACCGGAUGUGAGGGACAAGUAGCAGCUAACAGGCUCCCACCUGCCCCGGAACCAGAGCCCAGGACCCUUCUGCGGACACACAGGCUCUGAGGGAGCGGGGUGCUGGGCCACACAAGCCCCCCUCUCCAGACGCCUUGGCCUCCAGGCUCCUACCCCUGUCCAGAGGCCCUGCAGGGGGCUCCCGGCGGUGCUUCCAGUCCGCAGGCAGGGUGCUGUGGUUAUCCUGCCCGUGGGCCCCCCCUGGCCGCUCAGGGACCUGCAGGCUGCCGAAGAGCUGACUGCCCGGAAGCUGAUAGGGGAGGGGCGGAAGGGGGAGAGAACACACAAGGAUGGAGCUUUCCAGAGAAGUAGGUGUGCAUCCCCCCCCAACCGCGGUGCCUUCCCUCCCCCAGCACUGACCUUGUUCGGGGGCGGGGGUUUCGGUGAGCACUGUGACAGGGUGUGGUAGCUGGGGUUGGAGUAGUAGUGGCUGUAGCUGGGAGGGACAUCUGCGCGAACAGACGGGGCGCGUUGUGACCGGGCCGGUCAGCGAGAGGCCCGGGCCCGAGACAGUUGUUCUGUCCCGGCAGAUCUGACCUCUCUUCUCCCCUCCAGCUCCCCGCUUCGCCUCUUCCGGGUCCAGGGAGGGACACGGGAGCCCCGCACCCCAUCCGCCCGGAGCCCAUGCGCCAGCCCCGCGUCGUGUCCCCCGCCCCCGGGCCAGCUCACCUGGCAUGACGUACUCAGAGCCAUCCAGCCGCCCGCUGCUGUAGGCCACGGCCAGGUGUUGGUGUGCCUUGCCUUUUUGCCAAUGGCGGUAGCCGACGAACAGUGCCAGCAGGGCCACCACCAGGGACCCCAGCACCGCGAUGCCAAUCACUGCCCCCAGCGAGUUAUAGGCCACCGGAGAGGCAGGCAUCAUGGUGAAGGGCUCCUGGCUUCCUAGGGGGAUGGGGUGGCCGCUCAGCACAGUCUUGGCUGUGCCCGUGAGCUUGGGGUGCCUGCACAGGACAGGCCCCGGGAGGGGGGCAGGGCCCAUGAGGGGACCGGGUCCUGGUGCCCUGGGGACCAUCGGGGCCAACAGGAGAACUCACCAAUCCUGCAGGGGGCGCCGCUGUGCCCCGGGGGACACACACAGGCUCCCGUCUCCGGGUGGCACCUCUCUCCAGGACCACACUGGCAGGACUGGGAGCAGUUGGCACCGAACAUCCCCGGAGAGCAGCCUGCGGGACAGGCAAGGAGGCAGUGGGGUUGAGGGACCCAGAUCUGCAGUGUCCGCCUUGGGCUUGGGGGCAGGGCGGGAGUUUCCCUUCUCUGGGUACCUUCUAAGCAGAGGUAUCCAGUCCAGCCUGGGGGACAGAAACAGCUCCCAUCCUGGGGGUGGCAGGCCCCCCCCUGGCGGCACUGGCAGGGCUGGGCGCAGUUGGCUCCCCAGUGUCCUAGAGGGCACGCUGCAGGAGACAAGGUGGCUGUCCGGUGGGGCAGAGCCACCCCCAUCUGGAUGAACUCUCAGCCCCCAGCUCCCUGAAAUCUUCUCAGCCUUGGUCUCCUGGGGACACCAAGUUUUUGAACCGCAGCCGCACACCGAUGAGUCACACAUGCUUAUCACGGGCCCAACGGCCUACUGGAACCUGCACUUGGGUAUCUAGCAGCCAUUUCAGACUCGUGGGGCCAGGGCCAGACAACCAAAGGCUUUCAAACUACCCUGCAUUGUUUAGCUCUGGUUUCUUUUUUACGUCUUUAUCAUAAGAGAGAAGUAGACCCUUUGAGGCAUAA